UUCAAUGGGCGGGCCGUGGUAGGGGAGCCGCAAGGCUCGCCGGUUUGUUAUUGCCCCGGUCUGUCAACCCUAUUACGUGCCCGCUCACCCCU
rnacentral:antisense_RNA from 1 species